CAUUGUCAGGGUUGAAGC
rnacentral:snRNA from 1 species